rnacentral:rRNA from 1 species
GAUUCCCCUAGUAACGGCGAGUGAAGAGGGAAAAGCCCAGCACCGAAGCCUGUGGCAAUUUUGCUAUUAGGCAAUGUGGUGUUUAGGUCGGCUCGUGGGAUCGCCACUCCACUCGAAAUCCAGCAUUGAGUAUGGUUCCCAGGAAUUGGCCCAUAGAGGGUGAAAGGCCCGUACGAGUGGAUGUGUCAGAUAUGUAAGGCGAUUCACCAGGCCGGCCUUAGAGUCGGGUUGUUUGCGAAUGCAGCCCAAAGCGGGUGGUAAACUCCAUCCAAGGCUAAAUACUAGCACGAGUCCGAUAGCGAACAAGUACCGUGAGGGAAAGUUGAAAAGUACUUUGAAGAGAGAGUAAACAGUACGUGAAACCGCAUAGAGGUAAACGGGUGGCGUCAAGCUGCAAGCCCAGAGAAUUCAGUCGGUCAGGGUUUAGUAUGCGCCCAGCGCAUCAAUCAGUCAGUGUACAGUUUGGCUAGUCCGCCGGAAAAUGGCGGGCCCAGUUGUUAAAGGCUGGGAUUUGUGUACCGGGAGGUUGCCGGUGCAAGCUAGCCGUCUGAUGGACUGCCUGGCCGAUGCACUUUCUCUGUACGGUGAACACCACGACCGGUGUAACUGCCAGUCUGCUGUAGCCAAUUUGAUGACAUGUCUCUGUCUUCUUGACUGGGGCGUGCUGUCAUCACAGACAAUUUGUGUGCACGGUGCUCGUGUGUUUCGCACAUACGAGCAUGUUAUCGGGUACCGAUUGUAAACAGGUCUUCUCAUCGACUUGUCUGUAGUCGCGGUUGAUGAGUGACCCGGUGGGCUACAGUGGUAUGAAUAACUGUGCAGGGCACUGAAGAUAUCGGUCCAACCAGCAGUGGUCGCUUGCGGCUGCUGUUGCCUACUG